rnacentral:rRNA from 1 species
AUUGAACGCUGGCGGCAGGCCUAACACAUGCAAGUCGAACGAGCGGCGGACGGGUGAGUAAUGUCUGGGAAACUGCCUGAUGGAGGGGGAUAACUACUGGCAACGGUAGCUAAUACCGCAUACCAUCAGAUGUGCCCAGAUGGGAUUAGCCAGUAGGGGGGGUAACGGCUCACCGAGGCGACGAUCCCUAGCUGGUCUGAGAGGAUGACCAGCCACACUGGAACUGGGACACGGUCCAGACGCCUACGGGAGGCAGCAGUGGGGAAUAUGGCACAAUGGGCGCAAGCCUGAUGCAGCCAGGCCGCGUGUAUGAAGAAGGCCUUCGGGUUGUAAAGUACUUUCAGCGGGGAGGCGUUACCCGCAGAAGAAGCACCGGCUAACUCCGUGCCAGCAGCCGCGGUAAUUC